CUGUCUGGCACUCCCUAGUGAGAUGAACCCCGUACCUCAGAUGGAAAUGCAGAAAUCACCGUCUUCUGCGUCGCCCACGCUGGAAGCUGUAGACCGGAACUGUUCCUAUUCGGCCAUCUUGGCUCCUCCUCGCAGGGCCUAAAGAGAGUCUUGGAACAUUAUGUUGUCUCCUGAGAGCUUGCUUAGUGGGAGAAUCUGACUUGCAGAUAAUGCCAAGGGGACAAUAAAAGUCUAGCCCAGGCCCUUUAAGUAGAAGCAAAUAUUCUGCAGCAGAUAUAAAAAUAAUAAAAUAUUACCUUCAUAAUCAGGUUAUUAUACCAGCAAUCCAGCCUGAAGGACUUAGCUCAUAGAUGUCUUCUGAAAUGUGGAAGAAAUACUUUCGUUUGUCAUAAAACCUCAGCAGGAGAUUGGAGUCUGGAAGAGGGAGGGGAGAAGAGGAGGACCUCAGGGAGGUUGUUUUGCUUAUUGGUGUUUAAUUAAAAACCAAACAACUUUUCCUAUUAACUUGAUGCUACUUAUUAAUUGAAAUGAGGAGACUGACUCUGGAUAUUGGGAAAAUUUAUGGCUGGAAUAGCAAAUUGACCUCAAAAGAUAUAUUUUGAUCAGGAUGAAUUCCAAAGCUGAAAUUAGUUGUUCUCUGAGUUCAGAGUUUUAGAUUAAACAUCUCUCUCUUGAUAUAUAUAUCUAUGGCCCUAGUAAUCACCAUUCCACUCUCUACUUCUAUGAGUUUGACUAAGAUUCCACAUGUGACCAUUAUUCUGAGUGUUUUAAAAGCAAUAUUUUUCUAUUGAAGAAAUGAAAAUAGCAGUCAUUCAAAAUCCUAUUGUGCUAUCUUUUGAUCAUCAUAAUAAGCAAACGCAAAUAGCACAUACAGAGGAAAAGACAUGUGGGGACAUAAUGAGAGGACAGCCAUCUGCAAGCCA
rnacentral:lncRNA from 10 species